GAGGGGAGAAUGCCAAACCAAGAACAACCUCUGCUCUGUCUCUUUCAACUGCACAUCUUAAGAACACCAAAGUAAUCAAUCCAAAGGUUUUAAUCAGCUCGCUUACCCAGGCACAACCUCAUCCCCAAGAUCUCUUAAAUAAAACUACAACCAUCUUGA